UAAAUUUGUGACAAAUUUAUUGUGACAAAUGCAUUUGAACAAAAGCUAGCAUGCUAGCUUUUGAUCAAAUGCUUUUGAUGAAAUGAAAUUUGUCAAAUAAAAUUUGCUCGUGUAAACGGGGCUAACAACACAUAUAAGUAGAGACUGUAGAUUAGACUUAUGGACUUCUGCUAAUACAAAUUAAUCGAAAAUUAAAACUGAACGUCUAGAUCGGGAAAUCGGCGGCGAAGCGACUAAAAUACAGGCCUUCGUCUUCGAUUUAAAAAUAUAACUAUACAGUAUAUCAAGUAACUUUCCGCACACAAAUAUACGGUGGCCCAGACGCGACAGCACAAAAACAGUUUUUGUAUUUUUUGAUUUUUUGAUUUUUGUAUUUUUUGAUUUUUGUAUUUUUUGAUUUUUUGAUUUUUUGAUUUUUUGAUUUUUGUAUUUUUUGAUUUUUUGAUUUUUGUAUUUUUUGAUUUUUUGAUUUUUUGAUUUUUUGAUUUUUUGAUUUUUGAAUUUUUUGAUUUUUUGAUUUUUGUAUUUUUUGAUUUUUUGAUUUUUUGAUUUUUGUAUUUUUGUAUUUUUGUAUUUUUUGAUUUUUUGAUUUUUGUAUUUUUUGAUUUUUUGAUUUUUUGAUUUUUGUAUUUUUUGAUUUUUUGAUUUUUGUAUUUUUUGAUUUUUUGAUUUUUGAUUUUUGUAUUUUUUGAUUUUUGUAUUUUUUGAUUUUUUGAUUUUUGUAUUUUUUGAUUUUUGUAUUUUUUGAUUUUUUGAUUUUUGUAUUUUUUGAUUUUU